UACGGAGGUGGCAAGCGUUGCUCGGAAUCACUGGGCGUAAAGGGCGCGUAGGCGGGGAGGUAAGUCGGGUGUGAAAUCCCUCGGCCCAACUGAGGAACUGCGCCCGAGACUGCUUCUCUUGAGUCCCGGAGAGGAAGAUGGAAUUCCCGGUGUAGCGGUGAAAUGCGUAGAGAUCGGGAGGAACACCGGUGGCGAAGGCGGUCUUCUGGACGGUGACUGACGCUGAGGCGCGAAAGCGUGGGGAGCAAACGGG
rnacentral:rRNA from 1 species